UACGUAGGGCGCAAGCGUUGUCCGGAAUUAUUGGGCGUAAAGAGCUCGUAGGCGGCUUGUCACGUCGGGUGUGAAAGCCCGGGGCUUAACCCCGGGUCUGCAUUCGAUACGGGCAGGCUAGAGUGUGGUAGGGGAGAUCGGAAUUCCUGGUGUAGCGGUGAAAUGCGCAGAUAUCAGGAGGAACACCGGUGGCGAAGGCGGAUCUCUGGGCCAUUACUGACGCUGAGGUGCGAAAGCGUGGGGGAGCAAACAGG
rnacentral:rRNA from 1 species